UUUAAAGUGUAAUGUAAGUCGCUUUGGAUAAAAGCGUCUGCUAAAUGACAUGAU
rfam:Gasterosteus aculeatus cont1.007295, whole genome shotgun sequence.